GGAUGCUUAGCUCAGCUGGAAGAGCAUCGCCUUUACACGGCGGAGGUCAGGAGUUCGAGACUCUUAGCAUCCACCA
rnacentral:tRNA from 1 species